GAUGAACGCUGGCGGCGUGCCUAAUACAUGCGAGUCGAGCGAACAGGCGCGGAGCUUGCUCCUUUGACGUUAGCGACGGGCGGGUGAGUAACACGUGGAUAACCUACCUAUAAGACUGGGAUAACUUCGGGAAACCGGAGCUAAUGCCGGAUACUAUAUUGAACCGCAUGGUUGAAAAGUGAUAGACGGUUUUGAUGUCACUUCUAGCUGGCUCCGCGCCGCAUUAGCUAGUUGGUACGGUGACGGCUAACGAAGGCAACGAUGCGUAGCCGACCGGCGAGGGUGAUCGGCCACACGGGAACUUAGACACGGUCCAGACUCCUACGGGAGGCAGCAGUAGUGAAUCUUCCACAAGGGGCGAAUGUCUGACGGUGCAACGCCGCGUGAGGGAGGAAGGUCUUCUGAUCGUUAAACUCUGUUAUGAUGUAAGAACAAAUGUGUAAGUAACUAUGCACGUCGUGACGGUACCUAGUCAGAAAGCCCCGGCUAACUACGUG
rnacentral:rRNA from 1 species